rnacentral:rRNA from 1 species
CGGGUCGUAAAACUCUGUUGUUAGGGAAGAACAAGUGCUAGUUGAAUAAGCUGGCACCUUGACGGUACCUAACCAGAAAGCCACGGCUAACUACGUGCCAGCAGCCGCGGUAAUACGUAGGUGGCAAGCGUUAUCCGGAAUUAUUGGGCGUAAAGCGCGCGCAGGUGGUUUCUUAAGUCUGAUGUGAAAGCCCACGGCUCAACCGUGGAGGGUCAUUGGAAACUGGGAGACUUGAGUGCAGAAGAGGAAAGUGGAAUUCCAUGUGUAGCGGUGAAAUGCGUAGAGAUAUGGAGGAACACCAGUGGCGAAGGCGACUUUCUGGUCUGUAACUGACACUGAGGCGCGAAAGCGUGGGGAGCAAACAGGAUUAGAUACCCUGGUAGUCCACGCCGUAAACGAUGAGUGCUAAGUGUUAGAGGGUUUCCGCCCUUUAGUGCUGAAGUUAACGCAUUAAGCACUCCGCCUGGGGAGUACGGCCGCAAGGCUGAAACUCAAAGA